GUUGAUUGAAUCAUAGUUAAAAAAAAUUGAUGAAAUUUAGUUCCUAUCAAUUUUUUCUCGUUGUUGUGUUGGAGGAAUUUAACUUCUUAUGGUGCAUAAUUUUUUUUUCCAGUAUUUGAUCCCAGAAUGCCAGAAAAGAUGUUAAUGGAGAAAUUUUUGAUCCUUUCGUUAGAAGGUGAAACUUUCAAACACUUAUUGACAUGGGUCAACAGAGACGAAGGGAUCUUCAAAAUGUUCUGGCAACACAAAUUCCUCGAACUGGAAGGUAGUUUUCCAAGUCUUCAAAGAAUAAUCACUGUCCUGAAGAUUUCACUGUUCAAUGUAAAGAUUAAGAAUUGUCACCGUUUGCAUUUCCAUCAUCUAUUUGUAGAAUUUAUUUUGGCAUUACUAAAAUUUUCUACCAUUAUUGCUGUG